GAUGAACGCUGGCGGCGUGCCUAAUACAUGCAAGUCGAGCGAACAGACGAGGAGCUUGCUCCUCUGACGUUAGCGGCGGACGGGUGAGUAACACGUGGAUAACCUACCUAUAAGACUGGGAUAACUUCGGGAAACCGGAGCUAAUACCGGAUAACAUGUUGAACCGCAUGGUUCAACAGUGAAAGACGGUCUUGCUGUCACUUAUAGAUGGAUCCGCGCCGCAUUAGCUAGUUGGUAAGGUAACGGCUUACCAAGGCAACGAUGCGUAGCCGACCUGAGAGGGUGAUCGGCCACACUGGAACUGAGACACGGUCCAGACUCCUACGGGAGGCAGCAGUAGGGAAUCUUCCGCAAUGGGCGAAAGCCUGACGGAGCAACGCCGCGUGAGUGAAGAAGGUCUUCGGAUCGUAAAACUCUGUUAUAGGGAAGAACAAAUGUGUAAGUAACUAUGCACGUCUUGACGGUACCUAAUCAGAAAGCCACGGCUAACUACGUG
rnacentral:rRNA from 1 species